GCGAAAGUGGCGGAAUUGGUAGACGCGCAAGGCUCAGGACCUUGUGGCCUUUAUCGGCUGUGGGGGUUCGAGUCCCCCCUUUCGCACCA
rnacentral:tRNA from 1 species